UUGGCUGGGGUGGUACACCCGUCAAACCGUAAGGCAGGUCUCCUAAGGCAAGCUCAGGGAGGACAGAAACCUCCCACGGAGGAGAAGGGCAAAAACUUGCUUGAGCUUGACUUUCAGUACAAAUACAGACUGUGAAAGCAGGGCUUCAUGAUCAUUCUGACUUUCUGGGUUUUGCCCAAAACCCCAAACAUCCCUAACUGAUAGUAUGUUUACACCUGUAAAUUAUAAUUGUUAUUUUUCAUAAAGAGGUUUAGAACCAUUAGAGCUGAAAAUGACAAAUAUGAAGUAAAAU
rnacentral:ncRNA from 1 species